ensembl:lncRNA
AUCAAGUCCAACAACCCCAAAGCUUCACAGUCGUUUUCUCUUCAUGUGUUACGCUUCAUUUCAUUUGGUAAUAUUAAGCAUUUUUGAAUUACAAGCUGUUUAAUAUUUGAUGAUCACGUUAUUUUACAUUUGCGUGAGUAAUCUACUAUCACUUGGUUCAGCUUCUUCUUCUUCUGUGUUUUGAGUUUCUGUACUAGGAGAUGUGUCAUAGCGCAUCCUACCGUAUAACAGUGAAAACAUGGAUAGCUGGAAAAUUCAGUCAAUGGUGGGGAAAGAGUAAAGUAGAAUUAAAGUAAAUUCCGAUGUACCGAUGCCAGUGGACUAGCCUAGACAAAUUUCAGAUAUGCAGAAUUAGAAACAUAGCUGUUUUAUAUCAAUAUUCUAAACAAUAUUUUCACAAGUUUCAUAAGACUGUAUAUGAAACUAUGUAAAAAAAAGUUUAUUUAAUAGGCUACUCGAUCAAAACCGUUUGAAUACUUUGAAUACUUAAUUAUACUUUUAAGUAUAUCUCAAUCAAAAAGAUAGAGUACAAGUAAAGGCCAAAUAUAAUUGGACUUUUCUCUCAGUAUAAGUCAAGUACACUUAAGUGUAAUUAAUUGUAUUUCUACGAAGUACAUAAAGUAUGUUUUUGAGAAUGAUAAAAUUUAGACUUAAAGUAUACUUUCUUAUUGUUUGUUUAAAAAAAGUAUACUAAAAUAAAGUAUACUUUCUUAUUUUCGUAAGGGACAUACUGUAAAUCCUAAACAAAAACAACAGUGCAAAUGGAAUGCAACAUAUUCUUAUUUUUUAUUGAGCUUACAAAAAAUACAUAAGUACUCUUGUCAACUAAAUGAUGUUCCAAGUAAGAACGCCAGUAUAGAGAGCUAAGUAAAAACAUUAUUUGAAUGGUAAAAUCAUUACAGUUCACUAACCUGAUUAAGUGUGUGUGUCUGUGUGUGUGUGUGUGUGUGUGUGUGUGUGUUUGUGUGUGUGUGUGUGUGUGUGUGUGUGUGCAUGUUUCUGCAGGGGAAGGCAGCAGAGGUCAAAGUGCACUGGCUACCUUGCUCUUCCUGUGGCAGAGUCUGGGAGGACACCUGGGAGCCGGCCAGCAAAUUCGCCUGAUGACCAAUACUGUUGUACUAUUUGUUUUGUAUAUAUUUGUCAAUAAUUAAAUUCACUAUUGUUACAUUUUUAU